CAGCCGCCGCGGUAAUACAGAGGGUGCGAGCGUUAAUCGGAUUUACUGGGCGUAAAGCGUGCGUAGGCGGCUUCUUAAGUCGGAUGUGAAAUCCCUGAGCUUAACUUAGGAAUUGCAUUCGAUACUGGGAAGCUAGAGUUUGGGAGAGGAUGGUAGAAUUCCAGGUGUAGCGGUGAAAUGCGUAGAGAUCUGGAGGAAUACCGAUGGCGAAGGCAGCCAUCUGGCCUAAUACUGACGCUGAGGUACGAAAGCAUGGGGAGCAAACAGGAUUAGAUACCCCCGUAGUCCCUGUCUCUUAUAC
rnacentral:rRNA from 1 species